rnacentral:rRNA from 1 species
CCUACGGGUGGCAGCAGUGGGGAAUAUUGGGCAAUGGGCGCAAGCCUUACCCAGCAAUACCGCGUGAGUGAAGAAGGUCUUCGGAUUGUAAAGCUCUUUGAUCAGGGACGAACAGAUGACGGUACCUGAAGAACAAGCCCCGGCUAACUACGGGCCAGCAGCCGCGGUAAAACGUAGGGGGCGAGCGUUGUCCGGAAUGACUGGGCGUAAAGGGUACGUAGGGGGUAUACUAAGUUAGAAGGUGAAUACCCAGGGCUUAACUCGGGUGCUGCUUCUAAGACGGUUGGGCUUGAGGGCGGGAGAGGUUGGUGGAAUUCCUAGUGUAGCGGUGGAAUGCGUAGAUAUUAGGAGGAACCCCGGUGGCGAAGGCGAUUAACUGGACCGUAACUGACGCUGAGGCACGAAAGUGUGGGUAGCAAACAGGAUUAGAUACCCUAGUAGUC